AGAUUGAACGCUGGCGGCACGCCUUACACAUGCAAGUCGAACGGCAGCACGGGAGCAAUCCUGGUGGCGAGUGGCGAACGGGUGAGUAAUACAUCGGAACGUGCCCAGUUGUGGGGGAUAGCCCGGCGAAAGCCGGAUUAAUACCGCAUACGACCUACGGGUGAAAGCGGGGGAUCGGCAAGACCUCGCGCUAUUGGAGCGGCCGAUGUCGGAUUAGCUUGUGGUAGGUAAANCCUACCAAGGCUACGAUCCGUAGCUGGUCUGAGAGGACGACCAGCCACACUGGGACUGAGACACGGCCCAGACUCCUACGGAGGCAGCAGUGGGAAUUUGGACAAUGGCGAAGGCCUGAUCCAGCC
rnacentral:rRNA from 1 species